CCCGGGAGCUGGUGGUGUGGGAGAAGAAAUAUUUAAGUCACACUCUUUCUGGAAAACAAAGGAUGUUGGAGUGAAUGCUGAUCCUGCCCUUGUAGCUGUAGAAUCCAGACAAGAUGGUAAGGCCGGUGAAACACCAUCAUCACAUCCAGAUGUUUCAGCUUCUGGAAUCAAUAAGGAUCCAGAAACAAUUUUAAGUCAUGGCGUACAAGCUCUAUCUAUGCUCC